rnacentral:rRNA from 1 species
UACGUAGGGCGCAAGCGUUGUCCGGAAUUAUUGGGCGUAAAGAGCUCGUAGGCGGUCUGUCGCGUCGGAUGUGAAAGCCCGGGGCUUAACCCCGGGUCUGCAUUCGAUACGGGCAGACUAGAGUGUGGUAGGGGAGAUCGGAAUUCCUGGUGUAGCGGUGAAAUGCGCAGAUAUCAGGAGGAACACCGGUGGCGAAGGCGGAUCUCUGGACCGAUACUGACGCUGAGGAGCGAAAGCCAGGGGAGCAAACGGG